rnacentral:rRNA from 1 species
AGGGUUUGAUCAUGGCUCAGGAUGAACGCUAGCGGCAGGCUUAACACAUGCAAGUCGAGGGGUAACAGGUCUAGCUUGCUAGAUGCUGACGACCGGCGCACGGGUGCGUAACGCGUAUACAAUCUACCUUAUACUGGAGGAUAGGCCAAAGAAAUUUGGAUUAAUACUCCAUAGUAUUUUUCUAUUGCAUAAUAGAAAUCUUAAAGUUCCGGCGGUAUAAGAUGAGUAUGCGUGAUAUUAGCUAGUUGGUGAGGUAACUGCUCACCAAGGCAACGAUAUCUAGGGGGUCUGAGAGGAUUAUCCCCCACACUGGUACUGAGACACGGACCAGACUCCUACGGGAGGCAGCAGUGAGGAAUAUUGGGCAAUGGAGGCAACUCUGACCCAGCCAUGCCGCGUGAAGGAAGAAGGCCUUAUGGGUUGUAAACUUCUUUUAUUUGGGAAGAAACCUUUCUACGUGUAGAGAGCUGACGGUACCAAACGAAUAAGGACCGGCUAACUCCGUGCCAGCAGCCGCGGUAAUACGGAGGGUCCAAGCGUUAUCCGGAAUCAUUGGGUUUAAAGGGUGCGCAGGCGGUUUAAUAAGUCAGUGGUGAAAUCUCGAGGCUCAACUUCGAAACUGCCAUUGAUACUGUUAAACUUGAGUUCAGUUGGAGUAGGCGGAAUGUAUAGUGUAGCG